rnacentral:rRNA from 1 species
ACUCCUACGGGAGGCAGCAGUGGGGAAUAUUGCACAAUGGGCGCAAGCCUGAUGCAGCAACGCCGCGUGAGGGACGACGGCCUUCGGGUUGUAAACCUCUUUUAGUAGGGAAGAAGCGAAAGUGACGGUACCUGCAGAAAAAGCACCGGCUAACUACGUGCCAGCAGCCGCGGUAAUACGUAGGGUGCAAGCGUUAUCCGGAAUUAUUGGGCGUAAAGAGCUCGUAGGCGGUUUGUCGCGUCUGCUGUGAAAACUGGAGGCUCAACCUCCAGCCUGCAGUGGGUACGGGCAGACUAGAGUGCGGUAGGGGAGAUUGGAAUUCCUGGUGUAGCGGUGGAAUGCGCAGAUAUCAGGAGGAACACCGAUGGCGAAGGCAGAUCUCUGGGCCGUAACUGACGCUGAGGAGCGAAAGCAUGGGGAGCGAACAGGAUUAGAUACCCUGGUAGUCCAUGCCGUAAACGUUGGGAACUAGAUGUAGGGACCAUUCCACGGUUUCUGUGUCGCAGCUAACGCAUUAAGCUCCCCGCCUGGGGAGUACGGCCGCAAGGCUAAAACUCAAAGGAAUUGACGGGGGCCCGCACAAGCGGCGGAGCAUGCGGAUUAAUUCGAUGCAACGCGAAGAACCUUACCAAGGCUUGACAUAUACCGGAAAAGUUCAGAAAUGUUCUCCCCGCAAGGUCGGUAUACAGGUGGUGCAUGGUUGUCGUCAGCUCGUGUCGUGAGAUGUUGGGUUAAGCCCCGCAACGAGCGCAACCCUCGUUCUAUGUUGCCAGCACGUAAUGGUGGGAACUCAUAGGAGACUGCCGGGGUCAACUCGGA